AUACCUUUCUCGGCCUUUUGGCUAAGAUCAAGUGUAGUAUCUGUUCUUAUCAGUUUAAUAUCUGAUAUGUGGGCCAUGUGCCCACUUCGAUGUUAAAUUUAUUUUUUGUGGGGGAGGGCCCACCACAGUGGCUAGCCACUGGGGCCCUCGCGCGUCGCCCAGGCGUUGCACUGCUGCCCGGGCCUGGCGCACCCCAA
rnacentral:snRNA from 1 species